UACGGAAGGGGCUAGCGUUGUUCGGAAUUACUGGGCGUAAAGAGCGCGUAGGCGGCUUACCAAGUUGGGGGUGAAAUCCCGGAGCUCAACUCCGGAACUGCCUUCAAAACUGGUAGGCUCGAGUCCGGAAGAGGGGCGUGGAAUUCCCAGUGUAGAGGUGAAAUUCGUAGAUAUUGGGAAGAACACCGGUGGCGAAGGCGGCGCCCUGGUCCGGUACUGACGCUGGGGCGCGAAAGCGUUGGGAGCACACAGG
rnacentral:rRNA from 1 species